GAUGAACGCUGGCGGCGUGCCUAAUACAUGCAAGUCGAGCGAACGGACGAGAAGCUUGCUUCUCUGAUGUUAGCGGCGGACGGGUGAGUAACACGUGGAUAACCUACCUAUAAGACUGGGAUAACUUCGGGAAACCGGAGCUAAUACCGGAUAAUAUUUUGAAUCGCAUGGUUCAAAAGUGAAAGACGGUCCUGCUGUCACUUAUAGAUGGAUCCGCGCUGCAUUAGCUAGUUGGUAAGGUAACGGCUUACCAAGGCAACGAUGCAUAGCCGACCUGAGAGGGUGAUCGGCCACACUGGAACUGAGACACGGUCCAGACUCCUACGGGAGGCAGCAGUAGGGAAUCUUCCGCAAUGGGCGAAAGCCUGACGGAGCAACGCCGCGUGAGUGAUGAAGGUCUUCGGAUCGUAAAACUCUGUUAUUAGGGAAGAACAUAUGUGUAAGUAACUGUGCACAUCUUGACGGUACCUAAUCAGAAAGCCACGGCUAACUACGUG
rnacentral:rRNA from 1 species